UACGGAGGGUGCAAACGUUGCUCGGAAUCAUUGGGCGUAAAGCGCACGUAGGCGGUCCAGCAAGUCGGGUGUGAAAGCCCUCGGCUUAACCGAGGAAGUGCAUUCGAAACUACUGGACUUGAAUACUGGAGAGGGUUGCGGAAUUCCCGGUGUAGAGGUGAAAUUCGUAGAUAUCGGGAGGAACACCGGUGGCGAAGGCGGCGACCUGGGUCGAGACUGACGCUGAUGCGCGAAAGCGUGGGGAGCAAACAGG
rnacentral:rRNA from 1 species